rnacentral:rRNA from 1 species
GUAGGUGGCAAGCGUUGUCCGGGAAUUAUUGGGGCGUAAAGCGCGCGCAGGCGGUUCUUUAAGUCUGAUGUGAAAGCCCACGGGCUCAACCGUGGGAGGGUCAUUGGAAACUGGAGAACUUGAGUACAGAAGAGGAAAGCGGAAUUCCACGUGUAGCGGUGAAAUGCGUAGAGAUGUGGAGGAACACCAGUGGCGAAGGCGGCUUUCUGGUCUGUAACUGACGCUGAGGCGCGAAUGCGUGGGGAGCAAACAGGAUUAGAUACCCUGGUAGUCCACGCCGUAAACGAUGAGUGCUAAGUGUUAGGGGGUUUCCGCCCCUUAGCGCUGCAGCUAACGCAUUAAGCACUCCGCCUGGGGAGUACGGCCGCAAAGGCUGA